CCCCCGCCCCAUCUACUACGGCCCCGCCCCAUAUAUCACUGACCUGUCAAUCAAACUACUGACUCCACACACAUCUACCACUGACCUGUCAAUCAAACUACUGACUCCACCCCCAUCUACCACUGACCUGUCAUGAUUGAACACAGACUCUGGGACCGGGACAGACCAUAUUAAAAUGAGAGGAGAGACAGAAAGACAGAGAGACUGAAGAGAGACUGGAGAGAGACUGAGGAGAGACUGGAGAGAGACUGAAGAGAGACUGGAGAGAGACUGGAGAGACUAGAGAGAGACUGGAGAGAGACUGGAGAAAGACUGGAGAGAGACUGGAGAGAGACUGGAGAGAGACUGAAGAGAGACUGGAGAGAGACUGGAGAGAGACUGGAGAGAGACUGGAGAGAGACUGAAGAGAGACUGGAGAGAGACUGGAGAGAGACUGGAGAGAGACUGGAGAGAUACUGGAGAGAGACUGAAGAGAGACUGGAGAGAGACUGGAGAGAGACUGGAGAGACUAGAGAGAGACUGGAGAGAGACUGAAGAGAGACUGAAGAGAGACUGGAGAGAGACUGGAGAGAGUCUGGAGAGAGACUGGAGAGAGUCUGGAGAGAGACUGGAGAGAGACUGGAGAGAGACUGGAGAGAGACUGAAGAGAGACUGGAGAGAGACUGGAGAGAGACUGGAGAGAGACUGGAGAGACUAGAGAGAGACUGGAGAGAGACUGAAGAGAGACUGAAGAGAGACUGGAGAGAGACUGGAGAGAGUCUGGAGAGAGACUGGAGAGAGUCUGGAGAGAGACUGGAGAGAGACUGGAGAGAGACUGGAGAGAGACUGAAGAGAGACUGGAGAGAGACUGGAGAGAGACUGGAGAGAGACUGGAGAGAGACUGAAGAGAGACUGGAGAGAGACUGGAGAGAGACUGGAGAGACUAGAGAGAGACUGAAGAGAGACUGGAGAGACUGGAGAGAGACUGGAGAGAGACUGGAGAGAGACUGGAGAGACUAGAGAGAGACUGGAGAGAGACUGAAGAGAGACUGGAGAGAGACUGGAGAGACUAGAGAGAGACUGGAGAGAGACUGGAGAGAGACUGGAGAGAGACUGGAGAGAGACUGAAGAGAGACUGGAGAGAGACUGGAGAGAGACUGGAGAGAGACUGAAGAGAGACUGGAGAGAGACUGGAGAGAGACUGGAGAGACUAGAGAGAGACUGAAGAGAGACUGGAGAGAGACUGGAGAGAGACUGGAGAGAGACUGAAGAGAGACUGGAGAGAGACUGGAGAGAGACUGGAGAGAGACUGGAGAGAGACUGGAGAGAGACAGCAGCUGGAGAGAGACUGGAGAGAGACUGGAGAGAGACUGGAGAGAGACUGGAGAGAGACUGGAGAGACUAGAGAGAGACUGAAGAGAGACUGGAGAGAGACUGGAGAGAGACUGGAGAGAGACUGAAGAGAGACUGGAGAGAGACUGGAGAGACUGGAGAGAGACUGGAGAGAGACUGGAGAGAGACUGGAGAGACUGGAGAGAGACUGGAGAGAGACUGGAGAGAGACUGGAGAGAGACAGCAGCUGGAGAGAGACUGGAG
rnacentral:lncRNA from 1 species